CUUGAUUAAACCAUAAGAGGUCCAGCCUGCCCAGUGACAUUGUUCAACGGCCGCGGUAUCCUAACCGUGCGAAGGUAGCGUAAUCACUUGUCCUUUAAAUGAAGACUAGUAUGAAUGGCCCCACGAAAGCUAUACUGUCUCCUUUUUCAAAUCAGUUAAACUAAUCUCCCCGUGAAGAAGCGGGGAUAAACAUAUAAGACGAGAAGACCCUAUGGAGCUUCAAACAACUGAAACACUUGUAUAUCCUCCCCUCACCUGCCAACAUUUAACCUCACAUUUUUGUUUCUAGUUUUAGGUUGGGGUGACCACGGAGAAAAAACUAACCUCCACGACGAAAGAGACAUCUCUAAACAAAAAGCUACAUCUUUAUGUAUUAACACAUUAACCUUUAUUGACCCA
rnacentral:rRNA from 1 species